UGUCUGCUCUCAUUCAUUGGAGUCUUCCUGAUAGCCAGAGACCGACCCAAGAUCAAGACUGAAAACGUAACCUUUAUAGCCAUGGGGAAAAUACCAGGGAGAAAAUGUAAAGACAAGGUCCAGCCGGAGAUUAAAAGCAACACAUACGGAUCUCUGGCAGCUAAACUCAUGUGUAACAAACCUGGUCCACAGGACGACUCCUAAUAUCAGCCACACCUGUCUGUCUGUGUACAGAGAUUACCUGUGUCAACACUACACACACCUCUCUCCUGGGUUGCCAGACUGAAUGACUGACUAUAGGGACAAAGUGAGAGCACUGUCUCCAUACUGUAUUUCCAGCAGGAUUAUGGCUGCAUUAGCAAAAGAUUCCCCAGAUUUUCCCAGAAAUCCUAGUUAGAAGAUACUAGGAAUCCCUGCUAUCUCGCUCCUGAUUCCAGGAGUCUGGCCAGAAGCAGGAUUUCUGGGGAAACAUGGACAUCUUUGGGAAAGUUACAAUGAUCAGGGAAUUGAACUCUGGUGCUACAGAUACUGAAGAGACAUUUCAGGAUCCGACCCAAAUGCACUAUACAGACACCAAAUAAAACGUUAUGAUUUAAUUCUCAA